GGAUGAACGCUGGCGGCGUGCCUACUCCAUGCAAGUCGAGCGAACAGACGAGGAGCUUGCUCCUCUGACGUUAGCGGCGGACGGGUGAGUAACACGUGGAUAACCUACCUAUAAGACUGGGAUAACUUCGGGAAACCGGAGCUAAUACCGGAUAAUAUAUUGAACCGCAUGGUUCAAUAGUGAAAGACGGUUUUGCUGUCACUUAUAGAUGGAUCCGCGCCGCAUUAGCUAGUUGGUAAGGUAACGGCUUACCAAGGCAACGAUGCGUAGCCGACCUGAGGGGGUGAUCGGCCACACUGGAACUGAGACACGGUCCAGACUCCUACGGGAGGCAGCAGUAGGGAAUCUUCCGCAAUGGGCGAAAGCCUGACGGAGCAACGCCGCGGGAGUGAUGAAGGUCUUCGGAUCGUAAAACUCUGUUAUUAGGGAAGAACAAAUGUGUAAGUAACUAUGCACGUCUUGACGGUACCUAAUCAGAAAGCCACGGCUAACUACGU
rnacentral:rRNA from 1 species